UCCGUUUAUGUUUUUCAUUUGUCACUCAAUUUUUUCCGUCGAAGAUCCGCUUCGCGUUGGAUUUUGAUUUGGUUACGUGGAGCAUUUUCUUUCGGUUUCGAUUACGAGAACAGAGAGGAGACAGCGUGAUAUGCGUCGUCGAUAGGAACCGCCGCCGCCGGUGGCAAAAUCCGGCGCGACUAGGUUCCUUGCCGCAGAGCCUAUU
rnacentral:lncRNA from 1 species